rnacentral:misc_RNA from 1 species
UCCGAGUUGACCCCGGCAGUCUCCCAUGAGUCCCCACCAUUACGUGCUGGCAACAUGGAACGAGGGUUGCGCUCGUUGCGGGACUUAACCCAACAUCUCACGACACGAGCUGACGACAGCCAUGCACCACCUGUGCACGGCCCUUACGGACCCGACAUCUCUGCCGGAUUUCCGUGCAUGUCAAGCCCAGGUAAGGUUCUUCGCGUUGCAUCGAAUUAAUCCGCAUGCUCCGCCGCUUGUGCGGGCCCCCGUCAAUUCCUUUGAAUUUCAACCUUGCGGCCGUACUACUCAGGCGGAAUGCUUAACGCGUUAACUAAAAAGCCGAAACAGUAGGGUCCCGACAUUGAGCAUUCAUCGUUGACGGCGUGGACUAC